rnacentral:rRNA from 1 species
AUUGAACGCUGGCGGCAGGCCUAACACAUGCAAGUCGAGCGAGCGGCGGACGGGUGAGUAAUGUCUGGGAAACCGCCUGAUGGAGGGGGAUAAAUACUGGAAACGGUAGCUAAUACCGCAUAUCAUCAUGUGUGCCCAGAUGGGAUUAGCUAGUAGGUGGGGUAACGUCUCACCUAGGCGACGAGCCCUAGCUGGUCUGAGAGGAUGACCCGCCACACUGUAACUGAGACACGGUCCAGACUCCUACGGGAGGCAGCAGUGGGGAAUAUUGCACAAUGGGCGCAAGCCUGAUGCAGCCAUGCCGCGUGUGUGAAGAAGGCCUUAGGGUUGUAAAGCACUUUCAGCGGGGAGGCGUUACCCGCAGAAGAAGCACCGGCUAACUCCGUGCCAGCAGCCGCGGUAAUAC